UACAGAGGGUGCGAGCGUUGUCCGGAAUCACUGGGCGUAAAGGGCGCGUAGGUGGCGCGACAAGUCAGUGGUGAAAGUUCGACGCUCAACGUCGAAUCGGCCACUGAUACUGUUGGGCUUGAGCACUGUAGAGGCUAAUGGAAUUCCGGGUGUAGCGGUGGAAUGCGUAGAGAUCCGGAAGAACACCGGUGGCGAAGGCGGUUAGCUGGGCAGUUGCUGACACUGAGGCGCGACAGCGUGGGGAGCAAACAGGAUUAGAAACCCGAGA
rnacentral:rRNA from 1 species